GACGAACCGUGCAAACGUUGUUCGGAAUCACUGGGCUUAAAGGGCGCGUAGGCGGGCCAGCAAGUCAGGGGUGAAAGCCCACGGCUCAACCGUGGAAGUGCCUUUGAUACUGCGGGUCUUGAGGGAGGUAGGGGCGUGCGGAACUUCCGGUGGAGCGGUGAAAUGCGUAGAUAUCGGAAGGAACACCGGUGGCGAAAGCGGCGCGCUGGAUCUCUACUGACGCUGAGGCGCGAAAGCCAGGGGAGCAAACGGG
rnacentral:rRNA from 1 species